UGUUGGUUUACUUUACACUCCACAAGGUCAAUCUCGACCUCCUUUUGCCAUGGGUCGUAGUAAUUACGUUCAGGGUCAUGGUCGCGAAUCCCAAUCUCAACUUUCUUUUGCCACGUGUCAUACUAAUUAUGCCGAGGGUGAUGGUCGUGCAACCUAUAUUUCUCAACCUCAAUCCCAAUCUGGACCUGAAUCCCAAUCUCAACCUUCAUUUGCCAUG